rnacentral:rRNA from 1 species
UUUGAUUAUAAUUAAUUAUUAAUAAUUUAUUUUUUCUUAAUUUUAAAAUAAAAAUAUUUUUUUAUUAGUAUAAUUUUUAAAAUAUUAAAUUUAUUAUAGUUUAUUAGUAUUGAAAAAGAAAUUUUUUAUAAUAAUAUAAGAAAAUAUAAUUUUUUGUACCUUGUGUAUUAGGGCUUAUCAAUUUCUUUACUUAUUGUUAAAUUCUCGAAUUAGAAAGAUUUAAUUUUAUAUAAAUUUUAUUGUAAAAUAAAUAUUUUAUAUAUAAUUUUAGUAAUGAAACGUUAUUCGUUUUUUAUAUAUCUAGUUAUAAAAGAAAUUUAUUUAAUAAAGAUUUUAAUUAUUAAAAUUUUAAUUUAAAAUAUUUUAUUUUUAAAUCUUUAUAAUUAUAGGGAUAAUCUUGUAAUUAAAUUAAUAUAAUUAUUGAUUUUUUAUAAAUUUAUAGAAUUAAUAAUUUUCAAUUGUUUGUUAAAAUUAAUUUAUUUAAAUUAAUAAUUUUCUUAUAUUUAUUUUAUUUAUUUUAUUUUUUUAAUUAAUUUUAAUUUAAAAUUAAUAAUGAUAUAAUUAGUAAUUAUUUAAAUAUGAUAUUUAUAAAAUUUUAAUUUAUAAUAAGGAAUUCGGCAAUUAAAUUUUCGCCUGUUUAUUAAAAACAUGUCUUUUUGAUUUUAAUUUAAAGUCGGACCUGCCCAAUGAUAAUUUAAUGGCCGCAGUAUUUUGACUGUGCAAAGGUAGCAUAAUCAUUAGUUUUUUAAUUGUAAACUGGAAUGAAUGGUUUAACGAAAAAUUUUCUGUCUCUUUAUAAUAAAAUGAACUUUAUUUUUUAGUUAAAAAGCUAAAAUUUAAUUAAAAGACGAGAAGACCCUAUAGAGUUUUAUAUAAUUAAAUAUUGAAUUUUAAUUUUAUGUUAAGUUAUAUUUUAUUGGGGUGAUAAGAAAAUUUAAUUAACUUUUCUUUUUUUAUACAUAGAUAUAUGAAUUUAUGAUCCUUAAAUUAAGAUUAAAAGAAUAAAUUACCUUAGGGAUAACAGCGUAAUUUAUUUUAAGAGUUCUAAUCGAAAAAUAUAUUUGCGACCUCGAUGUUGGAUUAAAAUUUAACUAUAAUGCAAGGGUUAUAGUAUUAGGUCUGUUCGACCUUUAAAAUUUUACAUGAUCUGAGUUUAAACCGGUGUAAGCCAGGUUGGUUUCUAUCUUUAAUAUAAAAUUUUAAUUUAGUACGAAAGGACCAAUUAAUUAUUAAAUUAAUUUAUUUUGGAAUACAAAUAAU